UACGCCCGAUCUCGUCCGAUCUCGGAAGCUAAGCAGGGCCGGGCCUGGUUAGUACUUGGAUGGGAGACCGCCUGGGAAUACCAGGUGCUGUAAGCUUGCUUACGGCCAUACCAGCCUA
rnacentral:rRNA from 1 species